rnacentral:rRNA from 1 species
UACAGAGGUCCCAAGCGUUGUUCGGAUUCAUUGGGCGUAAAGGGUGUGUAGGUGGCGCCGUAAGUCGGGUGUGAAAUUUCGGAGCUUAACUCCGAAACUGCAUUCGAUACUGCGGUGCUUGAGGACUGGAGAGGAGACUGGAAUUCAUGGUGUAGCAGUGAAAUGCGUAGAGAUCGUAAGGAAGACCAGUGGCGAAGGCGGGUCUCUGGACAGUUCCUGACACUGAGGCACGAAGGCCAGGGGAGCAAACGGG